AGUUAGUGUAGCUGAUCACUUUUGCAUGCAGUUUGGGCUUCAAAGACUUACUUCCUACUUCAGUAUAGAAAUAUUGGUGUAAUCCUGUCCGGAGAUGAACGUCUUGAUGAAUAUUUACCAGAUCAACACAACAAAAAAAAAAAAAAACACUUGCCAUUACCCUUCUCAGCUGCUUUUCAAGGUGGUUACAUAUACU